GAGACGGUAUAAAAUCCACCUUGCAAAAUAGUUUGUCUCGUCGACUCUGGCAACCAUCCGUACUCGAUCCAAAGAUCUGAGCUCAAUUUGUACAACCAUUCAGUACUGAAGUUUUCGUCCUUAAUAUAGUUCGGAGCAAAUCUUUGAAAUAAAUUGAGAUAAAAGAGUUUAGAAUAAUUCCCGCAGAAUCUAGUGCUUGAUUUACAGAAUAAAAGUUUUCAUGAUUACACAUUGAGUGGGUGCGGUUCGUGAUUUCCAAUGAUCGGAUAAAUCGCAAUAUCCGGAAAAGUUUCCUUCAUUUUCUUGUAACUUUUCUUAAUGCUUUCAAUAUUUCCUUCCUUCGUUGUUUCCCAAACACCGUGGUCAAUCAAAUCACCGGUGAAAUAAAUGUACGACAAAUCCUGAUUUGUUAUAAAACAAAAAGUCACUCAUUAUGCUCACGGUUUGGUCGUUCGACGAAAAAGAUGUUGCAGUACUCAUUUUUCACGGGGAAAAUUAUUCAAAACAUUGUACGUAAGAACGGUGAAUCGAUUAUUUUAAGGAAAAACGUAAUUGUCAGAUCGAUGUAAAAGUAUUGAUUGAAGGGAGGUUCUCAUCAAGAGUACAACAACAAAAAUCAAUUGUUUCGUGCAUUUUUUUGACUGCCUAUUACACAGUGAAUAUCUUCCCAAAACAGUUCGACUGAAAUCUGACAAUUUUAUUAUUUAUUUUUCAAUUUUAAAGUCAAUUUAAUUUAUAGCAGCCUGAACCUGUAACUUUUUUUACUGUCAUUUUAAGGAGCAAAAAAAUGCUUUCAACGUAAAAUAUAUAAUUUGCAUAAAUAACACGAAUGAAAGUAAAAACAUCUAAAUUCUUACUUUAUGCGUACUAUUCAUAUGGACAAGUGCAUCGAUCAAAGCGUGCCAAGGGAGAUCACAGUCGUUGUAAUCACCCCAAUAUCCAGCAACACUAUCACCGGUGUUAGUGUCGUUCUGUCCUUUCCGACAGCACAUCGGUUCACCGCAUUGGGAAUUCCCAUAAGUAUUCACUCUGCAAGCCUAAACCACAAACAUCAGCCGGAUCGAUUUGUUGAUCUUGAUCCACGAUGAAGAGCAGUAUCGGCUGGACGGUAAAAAUUCCCAUUGUGAGCACCGGAGGUUGAAAUUGAGAAAAAUUCAUUUUGAGAGAAAAUUCGGUCGGAAUAAAUUAAUUGAUUUUGCAAAAGCCUAAA